UUUGAAGAGAUUCUCUAGUUUCCGAGUAUAUAUCUUCCUUUCCAAUUUUAUCCUCUAGAAAAGUUAGACCAGCAGUUAUAAGUUCUAUUAAUUUUUUCCGAAAAGCGUCAGCACUUUUCCUUUCAGGAGAAAUGCCCUCUGCGGUAUUAUUUUUCUUUUUCUUAUACGAUUUUUUGUUACCACUUUGUCUCUGCAAAAAUUCUAAAAUACUUUCAUCUCUCUCCAUUCUUGCGAUAAAAAACGAUAACGCUUCAGGAACCGUGGAAAAAGGCAGUUUACUAAAUUCUUCCAAUUCUUGAUUCCUUCUUCUGUUUUCCAUUUCCUUACGCUUCUGCUCCGCUUCUCUGGCUGCUGCAAUGCUUUUUUUAUUAGAAACACUGCCAUUGAGCCAUGCAUCAUACUGAGACUCUGGGUCAUAAUUUUUUCGUAUGAAAUUACCAUUUUCGUCAAAAUCACCCUCCUCCAUAUCUUCUUUUAAGUUAAAGGACAUUCGUUUUGGGCUUGAGGGAACUGAUAUCUCACUGCCUUCUUCAUCCGCGUCGAGGUCGUUAGCCUGAUUUGUAUCUUCUUGGCCUUCUAUAUCUUCAUAUCUUAACUUUGAAUACUUUCCGUUAUCGUCCUCAUCAUCAGAAUCGUCGUUCAAAACCUCUUUAUUUCGCAAACCUUUAUGUGCUAAUCUUUCAGCAUCGCCAUUUUCAAUGAAAUCACGUCGCUUUUGCGCUUCAUCAUUUGGCAGAGUACGCUUCUCAUCUUCCGAAGUAUCAGAAAACAUAUCUUCCGAUUGCCCUUCCUUCUUCUCUUUAUUCAGAAUUUGGUCUUCAUCUUCUUCAGAUUCAGAUUCAUAAUAUCCUGUGAAUUGAAUGUUAGACAGAAAUCAACAAAUGAAUUUGCAUACCCUCUUCUUUUGUCCUAGGACGUUUUCUCCCUACAUUGCUUACAUCGUAUUCAAAAAAAACAUCGUGAACAUCACCCACUGUACUCGAAUUGCCAGGGUUUCUGAGCGUACGCUUCAUUGUUCACACAAAAUGUAGUUGCAAUUGCGAACUCGUUAUGAGUGCAAGAUUAUUAAGUGUUAAAUCUGAAACAAUAGAAAAAAUAAAAUGAUUAUACAAAAAUAAAUAUUACCAAAAA